CUGGGGACACGAACAGAACACAGAGGAGAGACACAGUUUAACCCACGCUCAUCUUAAGCUCAUCUAAUAAGAAUUUAAUUUCAAGUGAAAGUACAACGUGAAUCCACUGGAGUGUUUGCAAAACACAUAGUAGAUUAGACUCUGACCGUGAAUACAUCGACCAAGAAACUGUUUCAGCAUUUCCUAAUUGACCAGCACCCCGUGUGCCCCGAGGGCUGU